UGGCGACCGGCGCACGGGUGAGUGACGCGUAUCCAACCUGCCCUUUACUAUGGGACAGCCCGUCGAAAGGCGGAUUAAUACCGUAUGUUGUCAUGUUGAUGCAUAUUUUCAUGACCAAAGGCUUCGGCCGGUAAAGGAUGGGGAUGCGUCUGAUUAGCUUGCCGGCGGGGUAACGGCCCACCGGGGCGACGAUCAGUAGGGGUUCUGAGAGGAAGGUCCCCCACAUUGGAACUGAGACACGGUCCAAACUCCUACGGGAGGCAGCAG
rnacentral:rRNA from 1 species